GCUCAGAUUGAACGCUGGCGGCAGGCUAACACAUGCAAGUCGAAUGGUAACAGGAAGAAGCUUGCUUCUUGCUGACGAGUGGCGGACGGUGAGUAAUGUCUGGGAAACUGCCUGAUGGAGGGGAUAACUACCACUGGAACGGUAGAAGCUAAUACCGCAUAACGUCGUAAGACCAAAGAGGGGACCUUCGGGCCUCUUGCCAUCGGAUGUGCCCAGAUGGGAUUAGCUGUGGUGGGUGGCUCACCUAGGCGACGAUCCCCAGCUGGUCUGUCACGACCAGCCACACUGAGACACGGUCCGACUCCUACGGAGCAGGCAGGAAGACAUGAUCAAGCUCAUGCAGCCACGCCGCGUGUAUGAAGAAGGCCUUCAAAAGUACUUCAGCGGGAGGAAGCGGAGUAAAGUAAUACCUUUGCUCAUUGACGUUACCCGCAGAAGAAGCACCGGCUAACUCCGUGCCAGCAGCCGCGGUAAUACGGAGGUGCAAGCGUUAACCGGAAUUACUGGGCGUAAGCGCACGCAGGCGGUUUGUUAAGUCAGAUGAAUCGGGCUCAAGAACUGCAUCUGAUACUGGCAAGCUUGAGUCUCGUAGAGGGGUAGAACAGGUGUAGCGGUGAAAUGCGUAGAGAUCUGAGGAAUACCAGGUGGCGAAGGCGGCCCCGGACGAAGACUGACGUCGCGAAAGCGGGGAGCAACAGGAUUAGAUACCCUGGUAGUCACGCCGUAAACGAUGUCGACUUGAGGUUGUGCCCUUGAGGCGUGGCUUCCAACGCGUUAAGUCGACCGCCUGGGGAGUGGCCGCAAGUUAAAACUCAAAUGAAUUGACGGGGCCCGCAAGCGGUGGAGCAUGCGGUUUAACCGAUGCGCGAAGAACCUACCUGGUCUUGACAUCCACGGAAGUUUUCAGAGAUGAGAAUGUGCCUUCGGAACCGUGAGACAGUGCACGGCUGUCGUCAGCUCGUGUUGUGAAAUGCGGGAAGUCCCGCAACGAGCGCAACCCUUAUCCUUGCUGCCAGCGGUCCGGCCAAACUAAAGGAGACUGCCAGUGAUAAACUGGAGGAAGGUGGGGAUGACGUCAAGUCAUCAUGGCCCUUACGACCAGGCUACGUGCCAUAUGGCGCAUAGCAAGAGAAGCGACCUCGCGAGAGCAAGCGGACCCACAAAGUGCGUCGUAGUCCGGAUUGAGUCUGCAACUGACCGGCUCCAUGAAGUCGGAAUCGCUAGUAAUCGUGGAUCAGAAUGCCACGGUGAAUACGUUCCCGGGCCUCGUACACACCGCCCGUCGUUCAUGGGAGUGGGUUGCAAAAGAAGUAGGUAGCAACCUUCGGGAGGGCGCUUACCACUUUGUGAUUCAUGACUGGGUGAAGUCGUAACAAGGUAACCGUAGGGGAACCUGCGGUUG
rnacentral:rRNA from 1 species